AUUGAACGCUGGCGGCAUGCCUUACACAUGCAAGUCGAACGGCAGCACGGGUGCUUGCACCUGGUGGCGAGUGGCGAACGGGUGAGUAAUACAUCGGAACAUGUCCUGUAGUGGGGGAUAGCCCGGCGAAAGCCGGAUUAAUACCGCAUACGAUCUACGGAUGAAAGCGGGGGCCCUUCGGGCCUCGCGCUAUAGGGUUGGCCGAUGGCUGAUUAGCUAGUUGGUGGGGUAAAGGCCUACCAAGGCGACGAUCAGUAGCUGGUCUGAGAGGACGACCAGCCACACUGGAACUGAGACACGGCCCAGACUCCUACGGGAGGCAGCAGUGGGGAAUUUUGGACAAUGGGCGAAAGCCUGAUCCAGCAAUGCCGCGUGUGUGAAGAAGGCCUUCGGGUUGUAAAGCACUUUUGUCCGGAAAGAAAUCCUUGGCCCUAAUACGGUCGGGGGAUGACGGUACCGGAAGAAUAAGCACCGGCUAACUACGUG
rnacentral:rRNA from 1 species